CAACAGCCCAACACUUUUUCAAUGGGCACAAAAUGGUAAAUAAAUGCGGCCGGUACACAAUAAAGGUGAUGACCUUUUAAAUCCUUUGAAAAAUCCGGCAAAUUCCUGGAUACCCUGUUGGAAUUCUGCCAAACGAACUGCAACUCCUGG